rnacentral:rRNA from 1 species
GACAGAGGGUGCAAACGUUGUUCGGAUUUACUGGGCGUAAAGCGCGUGUAGGCGGCUUUGCAAGUCGGAUGUGAAAGCCCACGGCUCAACCGUGGAAGUGCAUCCGAAACUGCAUGGCUUGAGUCUCGGAGAGGAAGGUGGAAUGCUUGGUGUAGAGGUGAAAUUCGUAGAUAUCAAGCAGAACACCUGCGGCGAAGGCGGCCUUGCUGGACGAUGACUGACGCUGAGACGCGAAAGCGUGGGGAGCAAGCAGG